rnacentral:rRNA from 1 species
AUUGAACGCUGGCGGCAUGCCUUACACAUGCAAGUCGAACGGCAGCACGGGGCAACCUGGUGGCGAGUGGCGAACGGGUGAGUAAUGCAUCGGAACGUACCUUUCAGUGGGGGAUAACGUAGCGAAAGUUACGCUAAUACCGCAUAUUCUGUGAGCAGGAAAGCAGGGGAUCGCAAGACCUUGCGCUGAUUGAGCGGCCGAUGUCAGAUCAGCUAGUUGGUGAGGUAAAGGCUCACCAAGGCGACGAUCUGUAGCGGGUCUGAGAGGAUGAUCCGCCACACUGGAACUGAGAGACGGUCCAGACCCCUACGGGAGGCAGCAGUGGGGAAUUUUGGACAAUGGGGGCAACCCUGAUCCAGCCAUGCCGCGUGAGUGAAGAAGGCCUUCGGGUUGUAAAGCUCUUUCGGCCGGGAAGAAAUCGCACGGGCUAAUACCCUGUGUGGAUGACGGUACCGGAAUAAGAAGCACCGGCUAACUACGUGCCAGCAGCCGCCGUAAGAC